rnacentral:tRNA from 1 species
GCGGGGUGGAGCAGUCUGGUAGCUCGUCGGGCUCAUAACCCGAAGGUCGUUGGUUCCUGUCUCUUAUA